GAUGAACGCUGGCGGCGUGCCUAAUACAUGCAAGUCGAGCGAACAGACGAGGAGCUUGCUCCUCUGACGUUAGCGGCGGACGGGUGAGUAACACGUGGAUAACCUACCUAUAAGACUGGGAUAACUUCGGGAAACCGGAGCUAAUACCGGAUAAUAUAUUGAACCGCAUGGUUCAAUAGUGAAAGACGGUUUUGCUGUCACUUAUAGAUGGAUCCGCGCCGCAUUAGCUAGUUGGUAAGGUAACGGCUUACCAAGGCAACGAUGCGUAGCCGACCUGAGAGGGUGAUCGGCCACACUGGAACUGAGACACGGUCCAGACUCCUAAGGGAGGCAGCAGUAGGGAAUGUUCCGCAAAGGGCGAAAGCCUGACGGAGCAACGCCGCGUGAGUGAUGAAGGUCUUAGGAUCGUAAAACACUGUUAUUAGGGAAGAACAAAUGUGUAAGUAACUAUGCACGUCUUGACGGUACCUAAUCAGAAAGCUACGGCUAACUACGUG
rnacentral:rRNA from 1 species